CCCGAAAAAUUCAAAUUAACGUCCGAUGUCAUUUUGGAAAUGAUUUCGUAGGCGUGGGCACGAAUACGAAGCUUGAAGGAGUUGUGGAAUUAGUUCGAACGAUUUUAUUUCGAAAACGAACGUUAUUUAGGGGGUCUUAAAAAGUGACUUCUUAUACGUACAGAAUUUGGGAAAACUUUCUUCAUGAAAGUUGUAGAGCUCGUCGAUACGAUCUCGUGCGUAUGUUGAACGCAAUAUUCGGAGUUUGUAUGAAUAAGUUAUGAAUAUUUGAAAAUCGGGAUUUUUUUUCUAUAAAUAUGGAGAAUUUCUGGAAUUUUUCUUAAAUCCCAAAAUUUCCUAUUCUUUCUAUUUUCUCCCCCGGUUUUCUCUCUUCUCUCUCCUCUCCCCCGACCUUUUUCUCUUCUUUCUGGGCGUUCUUCCUCUGCCAGCAGCGCCACCGUCCGGCCACCUCAAGCCGCUCUCGAGGUGUCCACGGCUUCGCCUCGACGUCGUCUAGCUACUGGACGUGACCACUUUCCCCGGAACGGCCUCAAAUCCGGCAAACCGGAGCUGCAAGGUUUGAGCCAAAAACAGUCAACGCCGGUUUUCUCCUAAUUCCGGCCACCAAAACUCACGAUCCUUAGCUCCCUGAACUCACCUCAACAUGCUGAUCAUCAUCCUAGAAGGAUCGCACCUGGAGUGACCGGAUUCACGUUCGUCGGAGCUCGGCCGGCUUUAAUUCGAAAACCACCUUCGAAUCUGAUUUUCUCGAGUUAUAGACCACCUUUUCUUGUGAUUCUUGGCCUGGUGAGUUCACCUUGAGAUUAUUAACAACUCUCAAGAAGGGAUCGAGGCCUGAGGUUGAAGUUUUUACGUCGGAAUUCAAGCUCGCCGGAUUCUGGAAAAUUUCCGACCACGAAGACUUUCGAUCAAGAUAUCGCGAGCUGUAGUGCAUCGUUUUGAUUGAUUCUUUUUCCAGUAGGUUCCCCUUGAUGUUGUUAACAACUCUCUAGAAGGCAUCGAGGCCUGAAAUUGAAUCUUUGACGUCGAAAUCGAGCCUUGCCGGAUUCUGCAAAAUUCUGGAAUUUUUCCGACCACCGAAGCUUUCGAUCGGUAUAUCUCGAGCUACAGACCAUAUUUUUCUGUGAUUCUUGAACCAGUGAGUUCUUCUUGAGUUUCUUAACAACUCUUCAGAAGGAAUCGAAGCCUUAAAUUGACGUUUUUACGUCGAAUUGGAGCUCGCCGUUUUCUGCAGUUUCUCGCCGGUUUCUGGAAAAAUUCCGGCCACCUUCAUACUGUUCAAGGUGAUUGACGGUUUGAGUUGGCGGACGAUUGUGAAUCGUAUUUUGAGCUGUUAAGAAGACGCAGCGGGAUUAGAGCGGGUAAUCCUACAGGUCAGGAGAACCAGGACGGUGAUCGGGCUGCUUAGAGUAGUGUUAUGUGAAUUACAACAUUAUAUUGUGAGGUUUGUUAUGCUCAUUUAGAGCUUUACGAUUUUACUUUGUAAGAGUGAAUUGUAAUAAUUAACUCGAGGUUUUUCGAGUUUUGUGUUGAGUGGCGAGUGGUGUGUUUGUUUCUGAGAAAAAAAAAAAAAUUCAGAACGUUAUUUGUAUUAAUUGUUUAUUCAUGUUUCGGAUUUGAAUUUAUUAUUCAAAAUUCGGGGCGUGACAGUUUGGUAUCAGAGCGUAAGGUGCAUAUUUGGUGAUGUGUCAAUACUUUCCGAGUGAUGGCCCGUCUGCAGCGGAUCCCCAUCGUGUGCUCUUCGGUAUUGGCUAAGUCAUUGGGUAUGCGUGAGUGUUGGGAGUUGUUUAGGCCGCUAGGUCGUUUUAGGAACGUGAAUACCUUCCCUGUAGUAUUGACUUGGCUAAUAUGGACUUGUAUUUGACUCAUGCCAUGUUUUAAGUGCUAUACGUGUAUUAGCCAAGCAUACUAUACUUCUUAGGUGAUGGAUAUUCGAAAGGGGUAGUACAUUGAACCUUAAAGUUGUUUUGGAAGUUCGUAUUAGAAUGAGUUCAGUUGCCGCGAGUUAUAAUCUUUAAGGAAUGGAAACCUUCGGAUUUAACUCUGUUGAGUCAGUGAGAAUUGUUUUAUGGAAAUGAGGUUCUUUUGAUUGUUGAAGUGUUUGGUUGAAGGCAUGGUGUGGACCUAUGCACGUACCUAGUGUGGAUACGAGUAUUAAUGGAUAGAAAGUUUGCCUUCUUAAGUUGGACGUACAUAUGUUUUUGGAUGAGAUGUACAUGUCAAAUAAUAGAUAUCUUGUUUUGUAACGAGAUGUCUUAGUGGGGUUUUGGUAAUUGGCAUGGGUGAUGUGUUUAAAGUGGCUUUGAGGUAACUAUACUAAUCUUGUGUGAGAUUGAGUUAUUAGUAUAAAUUGAGAAUAUAUGAGCAGUUGGAAUGAGAAUUGAUCUCACUAACUCAAGAUGAUAGGAGUGUGAGAGAUUAUGGGGUAGAAUUCUCAAGACUAUAUUGAUUUUUGAGUGUAGUGAUGUAAUUUGGGAGAUACUUAGGUUACCUAUAAGGAGGGUAGUAGAGUUUAUUAUCGAUGUGAGGAAAAGUAUGGUACCUGUAGCAAUAGCAUCUAUGGUGUGUGCUGGAGAUUCUAAGAAAAGAAAAGUUGUAUGCAAAGCUUGGGAAGUGUUUAGCUUUAUUAUUCCUUGAUUUUAGCUAGACCUUUGUGUGACUUGAUUUACAGUUGCGUUUUGAGAGUGAUUAUUGGGGAUAUAUCUCUAUGAUAGAUUUUGUGUAUGGUUUGACAUAUGGAAAAAUUUAUACGACCUUGUGAUAGGGUUGAUUGUGAAGAGACAUUGUGUCGACAUAUGAGCUGAGGUGAUAAUGUUGUUUUGCAACCCUAGGGGUGCUAGUGUUGUAUUAUCAAUGCAUUGGAACAGAUGUUGUGAGAAUAGGAUUUUGAACGGGGGUAUAGUUAGGGUGAGAUAUUAGGUGCUUUACCAGUAUUGAUUGGUGAAUCAAGAUAUGUCUUACGUAAGGUUGGAGACUAAUCUAGAAAACUUCAAGGAAUUACUAGAAGUACGAGUGCAGCAGAGCUGGCUAAUUUUUAAAGAGCAAUGGGUGACCAAGGUUCGAUUCUUGGUGGCGUUGUUGGUUGUUUUUAAAGAAAAGACUACCACAUACAUUCAGUCUUAUUACAAGUCAAAAGCAAAAUAAAGUUAUUGUACAACGAAAGUUAAAAUGCAGAAAAAGAAAUACAAUAACUAAAAGAUGAAUUGUUUUUACUUCUUCCCCUUUGAUUGGGAAAGCUCAGCAAUCUCCUCCCUGAGUUUGGUGACUUGAUCAUCGACCUCUUCACUGUCCUGCGAGUCACUACUGGUUGAGUCAAGAUCUUCCCAAGGAACAUGAGGAGCGGUGCGCGGACGAGUGGCAGCCCUUUUGCUGGUUUCAGCCGCAGGAGGAGGGUCCUUGUGGAGUGACGCAACAACUUCCUUGCAAGGAAACCCAGGAGGAUGACACUGCAUGUUAUUGACCUCCUGAGCAAGCUUGUUCAUUGCGGUGUGGCAACGGAUCAAAGAGAGGUUCAUGUCAGUGAUGUAAUCGAUCAUACAUGUGACUCGCCAAUCCGUCACCAUAAUACCAUCACGGAGGGAGGAACGCAGUGCAUCAAUUGAGUCUGACAAGCUUUCCAGGGUGGCCACAGGCCGAGGAGCACGAGCAGCUAGGGAGGAAGAGGACUCGCUGGGAUAUAGUCUGGGAGAACGACGAGGCAGAGGAGGGGGACUGCGGCUACGCUCACGUAUAGGACGAUGGUCUCCAGGACGAGUGAGGCCAGCGCAAGCGGCCGCUUGACGACCCUCUUCUUCUAAAGAGAGAACACAGCGUUGAUUGACGCUCAUGCGAGCGGUAAUCUUGGUUCGAACCAUGAUGAAGGAGAAGGAAUUUGAAACUGCACGCUUAGACAAAACCGAGUAAAAUCUGGAGGAGAUAAAAGGAGGUUUAUAUAGAGCACAAGAUAGGGUUGAGAAAAUGUGAGAAUGGAAGAAGAGAUUUGAGUUAUCGGAUGGAAGAAGAGAAUUGAGAGAGGAUGGCUAAAACUCUGGGGAAAUUUUCUUUUCUUUGGUGUGAAUAGUCUCAUUCCCCGAAUGCACCUAUUUAUAGAACAAGGUGAGCAGAUCUCCACCGUUGGAUGGACGAUCUCAGAGAUUCAAACUACGCGUUGGAUUAAAGUCGCCCAAAAACACGGAAAAGUUGUGGGCGCGUGGAGAGCGUGUAGGGGGACCGAGCGAAUCUCGAGACGCUGUGGCAGACAGCUUUCGCCGAAAGGGAUCUGCUUUCCGUAAAUCACGAAAGCGACGUGUCGUGGCACGUGGAAUGUACCGACAGUUUGUUUUUAUUCUAUCGCUUAUGAUAGAAUAAAUAAAAGGAGUUGCAUGGAGAAUAACGAGUGCAGCUGGUGCUCUAGUGGUUGAAGAGCAAAGCUCUUGUACAAGAGGUCAGAGGUUCGAACCUUGCCUCUCCCGUUAUUUUAUUUAUGUCGCUUAUGACAUAAUAAAUAUAACACGUGAGCAUAUAUUAAUGAAGGCAGCUCUUGCUUCAGUGGUUGGGAGCAAAACCUUCGUGUUCGAGGUCGGGAGUUCGAACCUUACCUCUUACAAAUAUUUUUGGAUCUCGUAUAUGCUUGAUAUACGGACGUAUAUACGGUAUGUACGGCAUACAUACGUAUAUACGGUCUGUACGGUAUGCAUACGUAUAUACGGUCUGUACGGUAUACAUACUUAUAUACGGUAUGUACAAUUUCAUACCGUAGCCGAGCUGGAAGUUGGUAGGCCCAAAUAGUAAGCCCAAAUAGUAAGCCCAAUUGUUCGGCCCGAUUGGUAAGCCCAAAUGUUAAGCCCAAUUGUUCGGCCCGAAUGGUAGGCCCAAAUGUUAAACCCAAAUUGGUUCGGGCCGGUUCGAAAUGUGGAUGGUUCGGUUUCUUCGGCCCAAUUGGCCAGCCCUAAUGCUUAGCCCAAGGAUUGAGCAAGCCCAAGUCAUCAUCACUGGGUAACAUAUUUUAUUGGCAUGCUUUUGGGGACGAAUUGUUUUGAGUGAUGCAUCUCUAUUGUUGUGUAGAAUGGUGCAUGCUUGAGUUUUACUAUAGAGACUUACCGUGAUGCUAAUUGAGUAGCGAAACACUUUGUGGGAGUGUUUACUGUGCUUGUAUGCCAGUACAAAGUGUUGAUCUAUGUGAGGAUCUAUGAGAUGAUCCAUGUGACGAUUUUGUGUAUGUGAUGUGGAGUGUUGUUGAGCAGUUGUUGUGUGAGUUUACGUUUGUGAUGAAAGGAUUUAGUGGCCAUAGGAAUGUAUUUUUAUACAAAGAGCUGAGGCUCUGUAGAUUACUACAGAUUUGGAAAAGAUGGAGAUUCUAUGGUUAGGUCAACCUUAAUCGAGAGGAAUUGACUUGCGCUUAAAUUUCGGGACGAAAUUUCUUUAAGGAGGGUAGAUUGUAAUACCCGAAAAAUUCAAAUUAACGUCCGAUGUCAUUUUGGAAAUGAUUUCGUAGGCGUGGGCACGAAUACGAAGCUUGAAGGAGUUGUGGAAUUAGUUCGAACGAUUUUAUUUCGAAAACGAACGUUAUUUAGGGGGUCUUAAAAAGUGACUUCUUAUACGUACAGAAUUUGGGAAAACUUUCUUCAUGAAAGUUGUAGAGCUCGUCGAUACGAUCUCGUGCGUAUGUUGAACGCAAUAUUCGGAGUUUGUAUGAAUAAGUUAUGAAUAUUUGAAAAUCGGGAUUUUUUUUCUAUAAAUAUGGAGAAUUUCUGGAAUUUUUCUUAAAUCCCAAAAUUUCCUAUUCUUUCUAUUUUCUCCCCCGGUUUUCUCUCUUCUCUCUCCUCUCCCCCGACCUUUUUCUCUUCUUUCUGGGCGUUCUUCCUCUGCCAGCAGCGCCACCGUCCGGCCACCUCAAGCCGCUCUCGAGGUGUCCACGGCUUCGCCUCGACGUCGUCUAGCUACUGGACGUGACCACUUUCCCCGGAACGGCCUCAAAUCCGGCAAACCGGAGCUGCAAGGUUUGAGCCAAAAACAGUCAACGCCGGUUUUCUCCUAAUUCCGGCCACCAAAACUCACGAUCCUUAGCUCCCUGAACUCACCUCAACAUGCUGAUCAUCAUCCUAGAAGGAUCGCACCUGGAGUGACCGGAUUCACGUUCGUCGGAGCUCGGCCGGCUUUAAUUCGAAAACCACCUUCGAAUCUGAUUUUCUCGAGUUAUAGACCACCUUUUCUUGUGAUUCUUGGCCUGGUGAGUUCACCUUGAGAUUAUUAACAACUCUCAAGAAGGGAUCGAGGCCUGAGGUUGAAGUUUUUACGUCGGAAUUCAAGCUCGCCGGAUUCUGGAAAAUUUCCGACCACGAAGACUUUCGAUCAAGAUAUCGCGAGCUGUAGUGCAUCGUUUUGAUUGAUUCUUUUUCCAGUAGGUUCCCCUUGAUGUUGUUAACAACUCUCUAGAAGGCAUCGAGGCCUGAAAUUGAAUCUUUGACGUCGAAAUCGAGCCUUGCCGGAUUCUGCAAAAUUCUGGAAUUUUUCCGACCACCGAAGCUUUCGAUCGGUAUAUCUCGAGCUACAGACCAUAUUUUUCUGUGAUUCUUGAACCAGUGAGUUCUUCUUGAGUUUCUUAACAACUCUUCAGAAGGAAUCGAAGCCUUAAAUUGACGUUUUUACGUCGAAUUGGAGCUCGCCGUUUUCUGCAGUUUCUCGCCGGUUUCUGGAAAAAUUCCGGCCACCUUCAUACUGUUCAAGGUGAUUGACGGUUUGAGUUGGCGGACGAUUGUGAAUCGUAUUUUGAGCUGUUAAGAAGACGCAGCGGGAUUAGAGCGGGUAAUCCUACAGGUCAGGAGAACCAGGACGGUGAUCGGGCUGCUUAGAGUAGUGUUAUGUGAAUUACAACAUUAUAUUGUGAGGUUUGUUAUGCUCAUUUAGAGCUUUACGAUUUUACUUUGUAAGAGUGAAUUGUAAUAAUUAACUCGAGGUUUUUCGAGUUUUGUGUUGA